rnacentral:rRNA from 1 species
GACGAACGCUGGCGGCGUGCCUAAUACAUGCAAGUCGAGCGCAGGAAAUCGACGGAACCCUUCGGGGGGAAGUCGACGGAAUGAGCGGCGGACGGGUGAGUAACACGUAAAGAACCUGCCCUCAGGUCUGGGAUAACCACGAGAAAUCGGGGCUAAUACCGGAUGGGUCAUCGGACCGCAUGGUCCGAGGAUGAAAGGCGCUUCGGCGUCGCCUGGGGAUGGCUUUGCGGGGCAUUAGCUAGUUGGUGGGGUAAGGGCCCACCAAGGCGACGAUGCAUAGCCGACCUGAGAGGGUGAUCGGCCACACUGGGACUGAGACACGGCCCAGACUCCUACGGGAGGCAGCAGUAGGGAAUCUUCCACAAUGGACGAAAGUCUGAUGGAGCAACGCCGCGUGAACGAUGAAGGCCUUCGGGUCGUAAAGUUCUGUUGUAAGGGAAGAACAAGUGCCGCAGGCAAUGGCGGCACCUUGACGGUACCUUGCGAGAAAGCCACGGCUAACUACGUGCCAGCCGCCGCAGUAA